UUGGACCUGAUUCAGACAAGACUACCCGCGAACUAA
rnacentral:rRNA from 1 species